CUGGCGGCGUGCCUAAUACAUGCAAGUAGAACGCUGAGGUUUGGUGUUUACACUAGACUGAUGAGUUGCGAACGGGUGAGUAACGCGUAGGUAACCUGCCUCAUAGCGGGGGAUAACUAUUGGAAACGAUAGCUAAUACCGCAUAAGAGUAAUUAACACAUGUUAGUUAUUUAAAAGGAGCAAUUGCUUCACUGUGAGAUGGACCUGCGUUGUAUUAGCUAGUUGGUGAGGUAAAGGCUCACCAAGGCGACGAUACAUAGCCGACCUGAGAGGGUGAUCGGCCACACUGGGACUGAGACACGGCCCAGACUCCUACGGGAGGCAGCAGUAGGGAAUCUUCGGCAAUGGACGGAAGUCUGACCGAGCAACGCCGCGUGAGUGAAGAAGGUUUUCGGAUCGUAAAGCUCUGUUGUUAGAGAAGAACGUUGGUAGGAGUGGAAAAUCUACCAAGUGACGGUAACUAACCAGAAAGGGACGGCUAACUACGUGCCAGCCGCCGCGGUAAUU
rnacentral:rRNA from 1 species